rnacentral:rRNA from 1 species
AUACGGAGGAUCCGAGCGUUAUCCGGAUUUAUUGGGUUUAAAGAGUGCGCAGGCGGCCAUUUAAGUCAGCGGUUAAAUCGUGGGGCUCAACCCCAUUCUGCCGUUGAUACUGGGUGGCUUGAUUGCGGUCGAGGUUGGCGGAAUUCGUUGUGUAGCGGGGAAAUGCAUAGAUAUGACGAAGAACACCGAUUGCGUAGGCAGCUGACCAGACCGCAAAUGACGCUCAUGCACGAAAGUGCGGGGAUCGAACAGGAUUAGAUACCCUGGUAGUCCGCACAGUAAACGAUGAAUACUUGUUUUCGGCGAUAUAAUGUCGGAGGCAAAGCGAAAGCGAUAAGUAUUCCACCUGGGGAGUACGCCGGCAACGGUGAAACUCAAAGGAAUUGACGGGG